AAAAAAUACUGUAAAAUAACAAUUGUGUUUUUUGUUAUACCGAAAUUAGGGUUUGGCGCGCUCCAGAGAGCUACUAGCCAAGAAAAUCGAAGUGGGCUGCCUCUAAUUUGCAAGAAAAGCUUCAAAGGUUUGAUCUUUUUGCUAUUCAAGAACCCCUUUUGUUAAAUUACACAAUGCUUUGUUAUUUAUACAAAAAUGUGCUCAAGAACUGUGUUAAUGCAUCUUUGAAAACACGCCCUUUGUGCUCUUACUCAGAGAAGGUGAGAGCUGAUAUAAUUGCGAGAAAGUAUAGAUCUUUUGAGUCUAUUUUUAAGAGUUAUGGGUUUAGUGAAACUCAAGUUUAUGUCCUUUUAAGCAAGAGGCCAUCACUUUUGUAUAUGGACAAAGAUGGGCAUAUAAUACCCAAGUUGGAGUUUUUUAGGGAAAAGGGGUUUUCGUCGUCUGAUCUUUGUCAUAUACUUGGGUUAGACCCGGAGAUUAUGAGGCGUAAUAUGUAUAAUUUGAUAAUACCGUCUUUUGAGUUUUUGAGGAGUGUUUUGAAAGAUGAUGCUAGUGUGAUUUAUGCGGUUAGGAGGUGUACUUGGCUACUUAAGCUAGAUUUAGGAAAAUUUUUAAGGCCGAAUAUUGAAUUGUUGCGAAGUUAUGGAGUACCGAAUGAUAGGAUUGCGGCAAUGUUGAGGCUUCAUCCGAGGGGAAUGUUGCUGAAUGCUGAUGGGUUUAGAAUGGUGGUUGAGGAAGUUACAGAAAUGGGAUUUGAGCCGGUAAAGAGUCAAUUUGUUAAGGCAUGUCAAGUAAAACUUGGAUUGAGCGAAACAAUGUGGAAGAGGAAAUGGGAUUGCUUUAAGAAGUGGGGUUGGUCAGAUGAUGAGAUUCGUUCUGCUUUUAUGAAGCAGCCUAGUAUUAUGGCAGUUUCGGAGAAGAAGGUAGAAAAGGUGAUGGAAUUUUUGGUUAACAAAAUGAGAUGGGAGAUAUCGAAGGUUGCAUCUUGUCCUGCUGUUAUUAUGCAUAGCUUGGAGAAUUGGACUAAACCGCGGUGUUUGCUUAUUCAAUUUUUGUUGUCAAAAGGGGCGAUAAAAAAGGACUUUCCCUUAAGUACAGUUAUAGUAUCAAUUGAAAGUCGAUUUGUAAAAAAUUAUGUGAAGAAAUACUGUGCAGAAUUUCCUGAAGUGCUAGAACUUUAUGCAAGUUUAAGUUUACAGAAGAACACCCAAGCAGCAGGUCAAGUGAGUUUGUAAUACUAGGGAGAAGAUUCGUUGGUCUCGUCUGCCAUAAGAAACCUGGCACUUGGCUGUGCAGUGUGCACAGAUUGUAUAUAUAACCCUCUUCUUUGUAUGGAAUAUAUUGUUCUUUUAUGUCUAUUAGAAGAGUUAAUCAUGACGAAUAGCAUGAACAAUACGAACAAAGUUUGUGUACCUGGUUCGCAUGCAUUUGAAAUAAAGGUUAAUAGUUAAUUUCUAAUUUCGACAUGGCUCCUUUACUCAUUUGCAGAGCGCGAAAGGUAGUUGGGAUGAAGUAAAUUUUGAAAGAUAGUCCUCCCCGCAGACCUUAUCUGAUAGUUACAGCUGUAUAACUUCGUGGUUUUCAUGCUGUUGAAGUUCGAUGUUCAAUCUGUUGUUUUAUACUUUCUGCCUGUGCAUUACCAUGUUGAUAUAAAUCCUCCUGAUAAGGUGUUCAAAGAGUUCUUGAUAGACACUUAUAAUGAUUUAAAGUCUAAAAACUGCUUUGAAGUUGUGAUGGUUGUCGAUGAGGUCAAUAGCUUCGAUGGAGAACGUGGGCAACUAUGUGGUGAUCUGACUCCUCAAGGGAAAUUUGAAGAUAUAGUUUCUAAAUUUCCAUCAUGGGCUGCCAUACCAUUCUCAGAUACAACAUCUAGAAAGCGUCUAAAAAGUAGAUUUGGUCACGUGGGCAAAUUACGUAGCCCUGGGAUGGUUCUCAUUGAUAUUGCCCUUGAUUCAACAGAAGGCUUGGUUUUGGACACUUUGUCUCACAAACUAUUUCAGACUUAUGGAACUGAGGCUUAUCCUUUCAGCCAUGACAGGUUUUCGACUCUGAAGGCCAAAGACAAAAUGGCCUUUAGCCAACACUCCUUGAAAGAACUUCUAGGCUCCUCGGAACGUGAUUUUGUCAUCUCAAACAAAGGAGAGGAGGUAUGAAUGUAAUUAUUAUUUAACACUUUAAUUGAUCCUUAACUGUUGGGAAAGUCAAUCUCAUUAGCAACAAGUUUCAAAUCCAACUAUCAAAUAUGGUUACAAAAAGGUUUGUGAGAUCUUGAAUUAGUAUGUUGAUCACUUGAUCAUUGGAAAUAAUUCUCUCUUUAAAGCAUUCAUUAAUGUUUUUGGCCCUCUGGAUUUUCUUUUCUUAAUUAUUUUUUGAAUAAAAAGCUAAAAUUUUAAAAUCUGCUGCAUGUAGUUUUGUUUUCAUCACGUAUACAAUAUAUGUAUGUGACUGAUUAAUAUUGACACUUCUCAUUUUCUUGAUCCUAAUAGAAAAGAUUUACUGGUCAAACUACUCCAUAGAUUUAGCAAUUAUACAUUCAUACUACCUGUGUCUAUGUGUGUGUUUAUGACUUGUGCAGCUUGCCUCAGAGCCUCUCUCUUAGGCUCUAUUAUAGUCUAGCGCCUAGGCGCCCUCUUGCCUAUAAUAAAAAUAAAAACGUGUGAUUAGAACACUGCAUUGAUAACAGUUUAAUGAAUAUUUUAUUUUAAAAAGUAUUGAGCAUAUUAAGAAGUGGAUACACAGUAUUUUGCCAAAAUAUCCAAAUUGAAUAAUAUUGAUUAGUGUAGUCAAUACUUUUUUAUUUUUUAUAUCGUGCAUGACAUUGUGGUGGAGUAGAGUGGGAUGUAGAGCAGUUUUGGAGGGUACUGGAUGAUGAGUGACUGAGGAUAUCUUUUGAAAAGAGGGUUGAGAGGCAAAUAAAUGAUUACCUCAAAUUUCAUAUAAGCUUAUAGUCCUAUCAUUAACUGAGUGGGAAAAAAGUGACAUCACGAAAAUUACAGGGAGAUAUAGCAAAACAAUUUUUCAGAAUAUAAUUGGCUUUUAAUCUAUUUUUUUAACAUAAGUUUUUUAUAAUGAUCAUGAAAACGAGUUUAAAGAUGCGUCGGGAAUUGAUGCUGAAGUUCCCAACAGCUUAGGAAUUAGAAGAAGUAUUUUCCCUGUUUCGUUAAUUAUCCUAUUGGACUAUGUAAUAACUUAGUUAUUUCAUUUGCACAUUAUCAUUAUGAAUUUAGAUAAACAUCUAAAUGAUGCACUAAGAUACUGCCUACUUUUGAUGAUAGAUUCCUAUUCACACUCUUAAAGAUAAGGUGGUAGCCCUAUAUUUUUAUGAAGAGCCUGAUUGCCUUACAAAAAAAUUAAUGAUGUAUUAUAAUGAAUUAAAAACGAAGAAUCAAAACUUUGAGCUUGUGCUACUUUACCUGUCUGACACACAUAAAACUACUGGUUCGACGAAAGAAAAUUUCCAAAAAACUUUUGAGACUAUGCCUUGGUUGGUGCUGCCGUUUAAAGACCCGGUCCUUAAGAAGUUGAAAAGGCUUUUUGGUUAUCCUGAUGGGGGGAGUUGCUUUGAUGCCGGACCUUCUCUUGUUCUUGUUGGGCCUCGUAAAAAUGUCAUUGGUUGUGGCGAUAUCAUUGAACCAGGUCCUGCCAGCAUCUUUAGAGAAUAUUAUGACGGAGAUCUAUUCUCGCGUGAGGAAUUUGCCAAAAUAGAGAGGGGGAGAGUCGGGGAACUGAAGUUGGAGAUGUUAUGUAGUCCAAAUACCUUCUUCAAAAGUAAAGAUGGGUCCCAGGUUCAAUUUUCUCAACUUGCGGGGAAGAGAAUCAUAUUUUUGUUUGAGGGUGAUUAUCCAGAAUAUGAUGGUAUAUGUUUUCGAGGACCACUAUAUUCAGCGUAUAUGGAUUCAAAGGGAACUGCUAAUGAAUUUGAAGUUAUAUAUUUUCCCAAUACCAAAGAAAUAAAUGACAAGAGGUUUGCAGAUAUGCCAUGGUUGAUUUCAUGUCCAGUUGAGUUGUUACCCGGUGGGUCUGAUAUUCUUUCUUUUUAUGGUAAUAGCUACAACCGAUAUCAUUCUUCUUUACUUCUUGCCUUUGGUCGAGAUGGAAGCCUCGUUAGAAAGAACGAUAUGUCCGUGGUUCGGGGAUUAUUAUUUUCCCUUUUACAGUGAUGAAGUUGCUUCAGAGGCAUUUGAUAUAGAGAAUAGCGAUUUCUGCUGGGGCUUUUGGGACACGCUUUAUCAGGGUGUGCUGAAAAGCAGCACUCGUUUUAAAUUUCUGAGUGCGAACCACCUCUUUUCUUUUUAUUAUUACAGAGUUUAUUAGUAGCAGCAUAGAAUCUGUUCAGCACACCUCAAAACCUCCCUCCCUCUACGUAUUGUAUUGUCUGUAUUGGACUUGUGAAUGUGUCUCUCAUCUCUAUCAUCAACUUUACAUUUGAUCACUUGGCUGUAGAGUUGAGGAAGUUACAAGAUUAGAUGGAAUGUGUUUGUUAACUAUUAA